GAAACAUGUCUGGAAAAAUCCCGAUCCAUGAUAUGUUAGAAAGCAGCAUUUUAGCAAUUAGCAAACAAAAUAUCACUGAACAAAAGAAAUCUAAAAAUUUAGGCAAAUUUACAUUGGAUUCAGUCAGUAAUGUAAGUGAUAAACGGCAUAACAAAUCACGUGGUUUAUUAAUGUUGCAAGGGGAAGCUGAUCAUGCACUCUUCAAAAUCGUUAGCACAUCAUUCCACACAGAAAGUGGCAAUAACCAAGAUAUUGCUGUCACAUUACCUGCGAAUAUAUCAUUGUGAUUGCGUACCAUCAUACAAUUAGAACAUCUUGAGCAGAUUCUACUCGAAAAAGCUUCAUUGGAUGCAGUGAUCGGUGGGCGAACUGUUGUGGAGACAGUGAAAAACGUUCUAUCUGAGUUAAUGGCCAGAGAAGUUUCUCAACAAAUAAACUUUGAUGGCCGUGGAGGGCUAAAGCAAGGGAUCAAAAACAUGAAGAUGUUAUCUGCAAUUUACGGUGCAUCGCAGCACAAUCCAUUUGCAAAAAAUGAUACCUAAAUGGAAAUAAGUGAUUUCGUAAAGACAUGGCUUCGUAAUUCGUUUCACAGAAAAAAGUCUGAUGGAUCA